GGUUUCUGCUUGUCUUAUUUUUUCUAUCAGAAGAGCUGUUUCUUCUUCUCUCACACUGCGAAAAGACCGAACUCUUUUGUUGCUCAACAAGUGGAGUACACACACACUCUUCAUCUGCCUCCAGUAUUCUCCAUAAGACGAAACGACAAGCGUUGGCACACUACCGAGUUGAAUCAUCAUGAGGUCUCCAUAUUUCUCGGACAUCAACCGGAGUGAGCGGUGAGGUUGAGUACCAAGCUGAUGUAUGUUGCCUAAGAUUGGUAGCUUUGGUGGAGAAGGAGGCAAGUUUUUCCUGGAAACUGUUCUGAAUUGAAGCCAUUUGUAGAAGAAGAAUAAGAAGACUAUGGAUAGUAGAAGUGUGAAAGGUUGCAACCAGAUGAAUUUGAGCAAUUGUUGAAUACUUGAAAUUGUCAUCUGUAAGAUUAUGCCUUUUCUUUUAUGAUAGAUGAAAUUCAGGGGCUUUGAUCCACACUUUUUUUGGCAAUGAAAUAAUGAAUGGUCCUGUGUUAGUUAGGAGGAGUUGUCAGGCUGUAGCUGCACAAGCUAUUCUUGUACUAACAUGUAGGCAAAAAAAAUUAAAUAGACAUGGUCAGACACUAAAUUUAGGGUGGACCUAAUGCUAUCACGUGUAACUAUUGUGGGAAAUACUUCUUCCGUUUCAUAAUACACGCUACACUUUUCAUUGUA